rnacentral:rRNA from 1 species
UACGUAGGGGGCAAGCGUUGUCCGGAAUCAUUGGGCGUAAAGCGCGUGUAGGCGGCCAGAUAAGUCCGCUGUGAAAUCUCGAGGCUCAACUUCGAGCUGUCGGUGGAAACUGUCUGGCUAGAGUCCGGAAGAGGAGAAUGGAAUUCCUGGUGUAGCGGUGAAAUGCGCAGAUAUCAGGAAGAACACCAAUGGCGAAGGCAGCUCUCUGGGACGGUACUGACGCUGAGGAGCGAAAGCGUGGGGAGCGAACAGG